rnacentral:rRNA from 1 species
CCUACGGGUGGCAGCAGUGGGGAAUAUUGCGCAAUGGGCGAAAGCCUGACGCAGCGACGCCGCGUGAGGGAUGAAGGUCUUCGGAUCGUAAAACUCUGUCAGCAGGGAAGAACGGUCACUGUGCUAAUCAGCAGUGAAUUGACGGUACCUGCAAAGAAAGCACCGGCUAACUCCGUGCCAGCAGCCGCGGUAAUACGGAGGGUGCGAGCGUUAUUCGGAAUGAUUGGGCGGAAAGCGCUCGUAGGCGGUAUAUCAAGUCAAGGGUGAAAUCCCCGCGCUCAACGGGGGAACUGCCUUUGAAACUGGUAAACUGGAGUGUGUGAGAGGAUAGUGGAAUUCCAGGUGUAGGAGUGGAAUCCGUAGAUAUCUGGAGGAACAUCAGUGGCGAAGGCGACUAUCUGGCACAUAACUGACGCUGAGGAGCGAAAGCGUGGGUAGCAAACAGGAUUAGAUACCCUUGUAGUC